AUUCAAAUAUGAUGCCAGUUUUUAUAAGAAAUUUGAGCAUCCACAGAUUUUGAGAUCUGUAGGAGGUCCUGCAGCUAAUCCUCCAAAUAUUCAGGGAGGGCCAUAAAGAGAAACAGAGAUCCCAGGAGAUACAAGGUAAAUUGGUGGCAUAAGAACUGGAAUAUUAGCACAUUUCAUCCAUGCCUUAAGAGAACGUAAGACUUCAAAUUAUUUUAGAGCAGUUUCAUUCAGUGGGCAUGACUUUUCCUGUUGGGGACAUAGAGGCCAACACUACAUUAAAACAUCCUUCAAUGCAUAAGACAGCCCCAAACCAAAAAAUGAGCCAGCCCCAGGUGUCAAAAGUUCUGAGGCUGAGAACUCUGCUUCAAGGUUGCUUUUGGGCACUUAAGCAAAUGAAGCCCCAGAUAAGAGGGUACUGGAAGUUUCACUCCAGAUGGAGUGCUUGCUAGGAAGCAGCCUAGAUAUAAUCCUGUGACUGAGGCUGGUGUGGUUUUCCUGUGAGUAUGUCUGAGGCCCUCUGCAGCCUUGGCGAGAACAGAACACUGAGCCAUAGGAAGCACUUAGCCUGUGGUGGGCCAGGGGGGCGUUCUGCUAAGCACUCGCUGACCCGUGAGAGAAGUGAUGGGGAUGAGUCUGGGCAACAUCAGGAGAAGAGAAGGAGGCCGAGGCUCCUCGGGGGCAUGAGGGCAGAGAGCAGGAAGUCCUCUAUGACUUUGGGCUUUGGGGGGCAGGUUUCCAAACUGGAAAUCAUCUGAAGUCUGUUGGGUUCCAUUUCUCCCCACACAGUAAAAUCACCUGAGAGGUGUUUUAAAGUCAGAUGACCCAGGCCCCACCUUCACAGCCGGUGAACAUUAGUCUGACUUGGGGCCCCAACACUGGAAUUUUAAAAGCUCCCCCAGGUACUCUGGAUUGAGAACUGCCA
rnacentral:lncRNA from 1 species